rnacentral:rRNA from 1 species
AUUGAACGCUGGCGGAAUGCUUUACACAUGCAAGUCGAACGGCAGCACGGGGGCAACCCUGGUGGCGAGUGGCGAACGGGUGAGUAAUACAUCGGAACGUGCCCAGUCGUGGGGGGAUAACUACGCGAAAGCGUAGCUAAUACCGCAUACGAUCUACGGAUGAAAGCGGGGGAUCGCAAGACCUCGCGCGAUUGGAGCGG